rnacentral:lncRNA from 1 species
UGUGCUCAAGACAUCACUGUUGGUUUUGUGAAUGAAUCUUUUGCAAACAGUGUUCCAAGGGAAAGAAGUUUACUACCUACAAAGUUCCUUAAAGGAAACCCUAACGGGUCUAUGAUGUGUGAUGUGUACGGCUUGAUGGUUCAACCGUGCUUUUGUCAUAUUUGUGUGUGGUGGAAAUGCAUAUUUAUCCAUGGUAGUAGGAGCGAGUGUUGUUGGUGGGCCUGCUGGAACUGAUUUCAGGGCUGGUGAUCAUACAUACAGUUACAGUAAAGGUAACUUAAAGACAUGGACAGUGACAUGGCAAUAACCAGUUCCAGGUGCUUUUUUGGGUUGCUCACUUGAAGGAAGCAUGGU